AAACUGCUGAGGAGUCCCAAAAUAGGACGAAACGGUCGUCCAGUGC
rnacentral:hammerhead_ribozyme from 1 species